AGAGCGGGCGCUGCGAGCGGCAGACACACAGCGGCUCCGGCACCUCUCCUCGACUCAGGUCACCGCCCGCGUCCAGCCUGCACUCGAGCUGCUCGCCGCAGCGCCCGUAGAAGUUAGCGCUGGGGUCCAGAUCGCAGAGCUGGCCCUCCAGGUUUGCGCAUUCCCAGCAGCAGCCGCACGCAUCCCGCACCCGGCCUGCUAGGCAUCCCCGCGGCGCAGCGCACUCUUCUGGCCGGCAGGGAGCACAACCCUCGCCCUCGGCUAGCAGCCGCAGCCAGCCUCGCCGCAGGUGAUGCCCACCCCACCUUAUCCUGCACUCGAUUCUAGACAUCUGUGAAGAGAGCGGAAUUCAUCCCUUUGCUGCCUGUCUCAUCUAGAUUUUUGUUGUUGUUGCUGCUGACUCCAGCUUGGCCAUGGCAGGGACAGCGCAUGACAUGGCUCCCACCCCUAGAAAAGAGCCAGCAGGGCGUGGGCCUCUGGAAGUGUCGAUGGUUGCUGUGGGCAUACGGCUUGAUUGUAUAAAAUUAUAUAUUUUAUUUAUGCUCUUCCUUUA
rnacentral:lncRNA from 1 species